UCUGAUCUCUGAGGUAUCCUCUAUUGGUUUUGCAGCGAGUCUCGAAGCACCAGGGCUGAGGGCAGGAAAGGAAAACAAGGGCUGAAAGCUCUGGCCAAUUGAGAUGCCAGCCACCAGCACGAUCACCCGAAAACCUGGCUCUGGCCCACUUUCUCUCCUGCUGCAAACCAUGGGACAGGUCUUCUGCCUGCUGGGUCAAGACCUACCACACCCCUGCUCCUGGUGAAUUCCUCUCAUGCUUUUAGCUGAAGACCAAGGCUCACCUCUUCUGCAAAGCCUGUCUGGACUACCUGCCCCCCCCC